UAAAAGGACCUGCAGGGACUGAGCAGGCUAGUUCCUGGUGGGGACCAGAGGAGCAAGGCAGGUACUUCAAACCUGAGGCGUAAAUCCUGCCCUUGCUUGUGUUGCUCCAGAGGAUACAAAAAGGGUAUAGGCAACUACAAAGCCCCACACAGUCAUGGUUUGGCUGCCAUGUAGAACUUCUCUAUCAUAGUCAACAGUGCGCUAGAAGAGAUACGAAGAUAAUAUGCCAGACCACACACCACACCCCCACUGAGAAACCUGAUACCACCAGAGGAAGGCCUGGGUCUGCUGGAGAAGUGCAAUGGAAAAGGAAUAAGAGCCAUGUCCUAAAGAAACAAGGGAAAGGGAG